GCGGAAACCCCCUAACACUUAGCACUCAUCGUUUACGGCGUGGACUACCAGGGUAUCUAAUCCUGUUUGAUCCCCACGCUUUCGCACAUCAGCGUCAGUUACAGACCAGAAAGUCGCCUUCGCCACUGGUGUUCCUCCAUAUCUCUGCGCAUUUCACCGCUACACAUGGAAUUCCACUUUCCUCUUCUGCACUCAAGUUUUCCAGUUUCCAAUGACCCUCCACGGUUGAGCCGUGGGCUUUCACAUCAGACUUAAAAAACCGCCUACGCGCGCUUUACGCCCAAUAAUUCCGGAUAACGCUUGCCACCUACGUAUUACCGCGGCUGCUGGCACGUAGUUAGCCGUGGCUUUCUGAUUAGGUACCGUCAAGAUGUGCACAGUUACUUACACAUAUGUUCUUCCCUAAUAACAGAGUUUUACGAUCCGAAGACCUUCAUCACUCACGCGGCGUUGCUCCGUCAGGCUUUCGCCCAUUGCGGAAGAUUCCCUACUGCUGCCUCCCGUAGGAGUCUGGACCGUGUCUCAGUUCCAGUGUGGCCGAUCACCCUCUCAGGUCGGCUAUGCAUCGUUGCCUUGGUAAGCCGUUACCUUACCAACUAGCUAAUGCAGCGCGGAUCCAUCUAUAAGUGACAGCAAGACCGUCUUUUACUUUUGAACCAUGCGGUUCAAAAUAUUAUCCGGUAUUAGCUCCGGUUUCCCGAAGUUAUCCCAGUCUUAUAGGUAGGUUAUCCACGUGUUACUCACCCGUCCGCCGCUAACAUCAGAGAAGCAAGCUUCUCGUCCGUUCGCUCGACUUGCAUGUAUUAGGCACGCCGCCAGCGUUCAUCCUGAGCCAGGAUCAAACUCUG
rnacentral:rRNA from 1 species